rnacentral:rRNA from 1 species
CAAGUCGAACGAACUCUGGUAUUGAUUGGUGCUUGCAUCAUGAUUUACAUUUGAGUGAGUGGCGAACUGGUGAGUAACACGUGGGAAACCUGCCCAGAAGCGGGGGAUAACACCUGGAAACAGAUGCUAAUACCGCAUAACAACUUGGACCGCAUGGUCCGAGUUUGAAAGAUGGCUUCGGCUAUCACUUUUGGAUGGUCCCGCGGCGUAUUAGCUAGAUGGUGGGGUAACGGCUCACCAUGGCAAUGAUACGUAGCCGACCUGAGAGGGUAAUCGGCCACAUUGGGACUGAGACACGGCCCAAACUCCUACGGGAGGCAGCAGUAGGGAAUCUUCCACAAUGGACGAAAGUCUGAUGGAGCAACGCCGCGUGAGUGAAGAAGGGUUUCGGCUCGUAAAACUCUGUUGUUAAAGAAGAACAUAUCUGAGAGUAACUGUUCAGGUAUUGACGGUAUUUAACCAGAAAGCCACGGCUAACUACGUGCCAGCAGCCGCGGUAAUACGUAGGUGGCAAGCGUUGUCCGGAUUUAUUGGGCGUAAAGCGAGCGCAGGCGGUUUUUUAAGUCUGAUGUGAAAGCCUUCGGCUCAACCGAAGAAGUGCAUCGGAAACUGGGAAACUUGAGUGCAGAAGAGGACAGUGGAACUCCAUGUGUAGCGGUGAAAUGCGUAGAUAUAUGGAAGAACACCAGUGGCGAAGGCGGCUGUCUGGUCUGUAACUGACGCUGAGGCUCGAAAGUAUGGGUAGCAAACAGGAUUAGAUACCCUGGUAGUCCAUACCGUAAACGAUGAAUGCUAAGUGUUGGAGGGUUUCCGCCCUUCAGUGCUGCAGCUAACGCAUUAAGCAUUCCGCCUGGGGAGUACGGCCGCAAGGCUGAAACUCAAAGGAAUUGACGGGGGCCCGCACAAGCGGUGGAGCAUGUGGUUUAAUUCGAAGCUACGCGAAGAACCUUACCAGGUCUUGACAUACUAUGCAAAUCUAAGAGAUUAGACGUUCCCUUCGGGGACAUGGAUACAGGUGGUGCAUGGUUGUCGUCAGCUCGUGUCGUGAGAUGUUGGGUUAAGUCCCGCAACGAGCGCAACCCUUAUUAUCAGUUGCCAGCAUUAAGUUGGGCACUCUGGUGAGACUGCCGGUGACAAACCGGAGGAAGGUGGGGAUGACGUCAAAUCAUCAUGCCCCUUAUGACCUGGGCUACACACGUGCUACAAUGGAUGGUACAACGAGUUGCGAACUCGCGAGAGUAAGCUAAUCUCUUAAAGCCAUUCUCAGUUCGGAUUGUAGGCUGCAACUCGCCUACAUGAAGUCGGAAUCGCUAGUAAUCGCGGAUCAGCAUGCCGCGGUGAAUACGUUCCCGGGCCUUGUACACACCGCCCGUCACACCAUGAGAGUUUGUAACACCCAAAGUCGGUGGGGUAACCUUUUAGGAACCA